rnacentral:rRNA from 1 species
CCUUGGUGAUUCAUGAUAACUUCUCAGAUCGCAUAGCCUUGUGCUGGCGACGGUUCAUUCAAAUUUCUGCCCUAUCAACUUUCGAUGGUAAGGUAGUGGCUUACCAUGGUUUCAACGGGUAACGGGGAAUUAGGGUUCGAUUCCGGAGAGGGAGCCUGAGAAACGGCUACCACAUCCAAGGAAGGCAGCAGGCGCGCAAAUUACCCAAUUCCGAUGCGGAGAGGUAGUGACAAUAAAUACUGAUACAGGGCUCUUUUGGGUCUUGUAAUUGGAAUGAGUACAAUUUAAACCUCUUAACGAGGAACAAUUGGAGGGCAAGUCUGGUGCCAGCAGCCGCGGUAAUUCCAGCUCCAAUAGCGUAUAUUAAAGUUGUUGCAGUUAAAAAGCUCGUAGUUGAACCUUUGGCCUGGCUGGCAGGUCCGCCUCACCGCGUGCACUUGUCCGGCCGGGCCUUUUCUUCUGGAGAACCGCAUGCCCUUCACUGGGUGUGUUGGGGACCAGGACUUUUACUUUGAAAAAAUUAGAGUGUUCAAAGCAGGCCUUUGCUCGAAUACGUUAGCAUGGAAUAAUAGAAUAGGACGUGCGGUCCUAUUUUGUUGGUUUCUAGGACCGCCGUAAUGAUUAAUAGGGACAGUCGGGGGCAUCAGUAUUCAAUUGUCAGAGGUGAAAUUCUUGGAUUUAUUGAAGACUAACUACUGCGAAAGCAUUUGCCAAGGAUGUUUUCAUUAAUCAGUGAACGAAAGUUAGGGGAUCGAAGACGAUCAGAUACCGUCGUAGUCUUAACCAUAAACUAUGCCGACUAGGGAUCGGGCGGUGUUUCUAUUGUGACCCGCUCGGCACCUUACGAGAAAUCAAAGUGUUUGGGUCU